ACCAGUAGGCACACCUUGCUUGGCAGGUUGGUAUUCCAGCAUGUCGGGCUUGCCAAGGAAUAAGGACAUUGAUGGCGUUUUCUCUUCUAGAGGACUACAAAGCCCCUUCCAGCAUGAUGAAAGCUUCUUGUAUCAGGUUCUGUAUUUCUGGCUUUUAAUGAAGUUUUCGCUCCAUUUUGAAUUGAUGUUUUUGCAGGAAGAGAGAUGUGGAUCUAAUUUUUCUGCAGGUUGAUGUCCAGUUUUGCCUUCAGUAUCUGCUCAAUAGGUUGUCUUUUCUUCUUGUGUAUGUUUUUGAUACCUUUGCCAAAAUUAAAUGACAAGAGCUGUAUAGAUUUAUUUAUGGGUGUUCUACCGUGUUGAUAUACAUGUCUGUCUUUGUGUCUUUUUGAUUAUAGCUCUACAGCAUAAGUCGACAUCAGGUAUUUUGAUGUCCCUAGGUUUUUGCUUAGGACUACUUUGGCUCUCUUUUGUAUUUCCAUGUAAUUGUUAGGAUUCUUUUUCAUAAUUAUAUAAAGAAUGUGUUGGGAAUUUUGAUAUAGAUUUUACUGAAUCUGUAGAUUACUUUUAUUAAUCCUGCUGUUUUCAUACUACUAAUUCUGCCAAUCCAGGAUCAUGGAUAGUCUUUCUGCCAUCCAAUAUUAUUUUUCUCUUGUUUCAGUGUUUUUUGUUGUAGAGGUCUCUCACUUCCUUAGUUAGCUUUACUCCUAGGUAGUUUUUUUGAUUUAGCUACUGUGAAUGGGGUAUUUUACUAAUUUAUUUCUCAGUAGGUUUGUUGAUUACAUAGAAAAUCCAUUUAUUUAUUUAUUUGUUUGUUUAUUGUGUGUUUGUUUGCCUGCAUGUGUAUAUGUGUACCACAGGUAUAUGUGUGCCUGGUGCCUACAGAGUCCAGAAGAGGACUGGAAUUGGAGUUGAAAAUGGUAUGAGUCUCCAUAUGAGUGCUAGGACCUGAACCUGCAUCCUCAGCAAGAACAAGUGCUCUCGACUGCUGAGCCAUCUAUAGCUCCUCUUGUAUCUUUUAGUAUGUUGAUUUUUUUUGUAUCUGCAAUUUUAUUGAAAGUGUCUACCACAUCUAAACUAUUUCUGGUGGAGUCCGCAGGGUCUUUUCUAUUCAGAACAUAUCACUGAGCUAUAAGGAUAAGCGUCUUUCUUUUCUAUUGGUGUCCCUUUCAUAUCUGUUGCCUGUCUUAUGGGUUGAGCUAAGAUUUUAAACACUAUGUUGUAAGCGUGGAGAGGACAGACACCUUUUUUUCACCCCAGAUUGUUUUGAAAAUGCUUUCAGUUUUCCUCACACUAAGUAUAACAUUGGAAUAGAUUUGUCACAUAUAAUCUUUAUUAUUUUGAGUUGUGUUCAACCUGUCCUUAAUCUCUUUCAGGACUUAUUAAUGAAGGGAUGUUGAAGUUUAUCAAAUACCCUUUUCUGUAUCUUUCAAGAUGAUGAUGAUGUAAGUUUUGUCCUUGAGUUUAUUUCUAUAUAAUUGAUUUGCGAAUGUUGAAUGAAUCUCCCCUUACUGAGAUGAAAUUAACCUGUUCAUGGCGUAUGAUCUUGAUUUCUCUCGAAUUCAAUUUGCAAGUAUUUUGUUGAGAACUCUUGCAUCUAUCUGAACCUUACAUUCCUUAGCAAUUACUGCUUCACUGGAAAAAAAAAGCAGAGAGAAAAUUAAAAUGUUUCAUUUAUUUAAAAUAUCA
rnacentral:lncRNA from 1 species